rnacentral:rRNA from 1 species
UACGUAGGAUCCAAGCGUUGUCCGGAUUUACUGGGUGUAAAGGGUGCGCAGGCGGGCUGGUAAGUCAGUAGUGAAAUCUCGGCGCUCAACGCCGAAACGUCUUUUGAUACUACCAGUCUUGAAUAAGCGAGAGAUCCGUGGAGUUCCGAGUGUAGCAGUGAAAUGUGUAGAUAUUCGGAAGAACACCAGCGGCGAAGGCAGCGGGUUGGCGCUUUAUUGACGCUCAGGCACGAAAGCAUGGGGAUCAAACAGG